UAUGUAAAACAAAUUUAAAAUAAAAUUAUUUAUUUUGUUGGGGUGACAAAAAAAUACAUUAAACUUUUUUUUUUAUUUUAAAACAUUUAUAAGUGAUUAAAUGAUCCAAUAAUAUUGAUUAUGAGAAAAAAUUACCUUAGGGAUAACAGCGUAAUUUUUUUUUUUAGUUCAAAUAAGAAAAAGAGUUUGCGACCUCGAUGUUGGAUUAAGAUAAAAUUUAAA
rnacentral:rRNA from 1 species